GCUGGCAUAGCUCAGAUGGUAGAGCAGCCGCCUUGUAAGCGGCAGGUCGCGGGUUCGAUGCCUGCUGCCAGCACCA
rnacentral:tRNA from 1 species